CCUACGGGUGGCAGCAGUGGGGAAUAUUGGGCAAUGGGCGCAAGCCUGACCCAGCAACGCCGCGUGAAGGAAGAAGGCUUUCGGGUUGUAAACUUCUUUUCUGAGGGACGAAGAAAGUGACGGUACCUCAGGAAUAAGCCACGGCUAACUACGUGCCCGCAGCCGCGGUAAUACGUAGGGGGCAAGCGUUAUACGGAUUCAUUGGGUGUAAAGGGCGUGUAGGCGGGACAGCAAGUCAGAAGUGAAAACGCAGGGCUCAACCCUGAGACUGCAUGUGAAACGGUUUUUCUAGAGUGCUGGGGAGGCAAGCGGAAGUCCGGGUGUAGCGGUGAAAUGCGUAGAUAUCCGGAGGAAAACCAGGGGCGAAGGCGGCUUACUGGACAGUAACUGACGCUGAGGCGCGAAAGCGUGGGGAGCAAACAGGAUUAGAUACCCCUGUAGUC
rnacentral:rRNA from 1 species